rnacentral:rRNA from 1 species
AGGGCACCACCAGGAGUGGAGCCUGCGGCUUAAUUUGACUCAACACGGGAAAUCUCACCAGGCCCGGACACCGGAAGGAUUGACAGAUUGAAAGCUCUUUCUUGAUUCGGUGGGUGGUGGUGCAUGGCCGUUCUUAGUUGGUGGAGCGAUUUGUCUGGUUAAUUCCGAUAACGAACGAGACUCUGGCCUACUAAAUAGACAUUGGAUCAUUUAUAGUCCAUUGCAGCUUCUUAGAGGGACGGGCGGCUUAUAGCCGCACGAGAAUGAGCAAUAACAGGUCUGUGAUGCCCUUAGAUGUUCUGGGCUGCACGCGCGCUACACUGAAGGAAUCAGCGUGUGUACCCUGUCCGAAAGGACUGGGAAACCCGUUGAACCUCCUUCGUGAUGGGGAUUGGGGAUUGCAAUUAUUCCCCAUGAACGAGGAAUUCCCAGUAGGCGCGAGUCAUAAGCUUGCGUCGAUUACGUCCCUGCCCUUUGUACACACCGCCCGUCGCUACUACCGAUCGAGUGUUUUAGUGA